rnacentral:rRNA from 1 species
ACGCACGCUGGCGGCAUGCCUCACCCAUGCAAGUCGAACGAGACCUUCGGGUCUAGUGGCGCACGGGUGCGUAACGCGUGGGAACCUGCCCUUAGGUUCGGAAUAACUCCCCGAAAGGGGUGCUAAUACCGGAUAAUGUCUUCGGACCAAAGAUUUAUCGCCUUUGGAUGGGCCCGCGUUGGAUUAGCUAGUUGGUAGGGUAAAAGCCUACCAAGGCGACGAUCCAUAGCUGGUCUGAGAGGAUGAUCAGCCACACUGGGACUGAGACACGGCCCAGACUCCUACGGGAGGCAGCAGUGGGGAAUAUUGGACAAUGGGCGAAAGCCUGAUCCAGCAAUGCCGCGUGAGUGAUGAAGGCCUUAGGGUUGUAAAGCUCUUUUACCCGGGAUGAUAAUGACAGUACCGGGAGAAUAAGCUCCGGCUAACUCCGUG